AGUGAACGCUGGCGGUAGGCCUAACACAUGCAAGUCGAACGGCAGCACAGUAAGAGCUUGCUCUUACGGGUGGCGAGUGGCGGACGGGUGAGGAAUACAUCGGAAUCUACUUUUUCGUGGGGGAUAACGUAGGGAAACUUACGCUAAUACCGCAUACGACCUACGGGUGAAAGCAGGGGAUCUUCGGACUUUGCGCGAUUGAAUGAGCCGAUGUCGGAUUAGCUAGUUGGCGGGGUAAAGGCCCACCAAGGCGACGAUCCGUAGCUGGUCUGAGAGGAUGAUCAGCCACACUGGAACUGAGACACGGUCCAGACUCCUACGGGAGGCAGCAGUGGGGAAUAUUGGACAAUGGGCGCAGGCCUGCUCCAGCCAUACCGCGUGGGUGAAGAAGGCGUUCGGGUUGUAAAACCCUUUUGUUGGGAAAGAAAAGCAGCAGGUUAAUACCCCGCUGUUCUGACGGUACCCAAAGAAUAAGCACCGGCUAACUUCGUG
rnacentral:rRNA from 1 species